rnacentral:rRNA from 1 species
UACAGAGGGGGCAAGCGUUGUUCGGAAUUACUGGGCGUAAAGGGCGCGUAGGCGGCCUGUUAAGUCGAACGUGAAAUCCCCGGGCUCAACCCGGGAACUGCGUCCGAUACUGGCAGGCUUGAAUUCGGGAGAGGGAUGUGGAAUUCCAGGUGUAGCGGUGAAAUGCGCAGAUAUCAGGAAGAACACCCGUGGCGAAGGCGGCUUUCUGGGACGGUACUGACGCUGAGACGCGAAAGCGUGGGGAGCGAACAGG